rnacentral:rRNA from 1 species
ACGCUGGCGGCGUGCCUAAUACAUGCAAGUCGAACGAGAGCGACCGGUGCUUGCACUGGUCAAUCUAGUGGCGAACGGGUGAGUAACACGUGGGUAACCUGCCCAUCAGAGGGGGAUAACAUUCGGAAACGGAUGCUAAAACCGCAUAGGUCUUCGAACCGCAUGGUUUGAAGAGGAAAAGAGGCGCAAGCUUCUGCUGAUGGAUGGACCCGCGGUGCAUUAGCUAGUUGGUGAGGUAACGGCUCACCAAGGCAGUGAUGCAUAGCCGACCUGAGAGGGUGAUCGGCCACAUUGGGACUGAGACACGGCCCAAACUCCUACGGGAGGCAGCAGUAGGGAAUCUUCCGCAAUGGACGCAAGUCUGACGGAGCAACGCCGCGUGAGUGAAGAAGGUUUUCGGAUCGUAAAACUCUGUUGUUAGAGAAGAACAAGUGCUAGAGUAACUGUUAGCGCCUUGACGGUAUCUAACCAGAAAGCCACGGCUAACUACGUGCCAGCAGCCGCGGUAAUACGUAGGUGGCAAGCGUUGUCCGGAUUUAUUGGGCGUAAAGCGAGCGCAGGCGGUUCCUUAAGUCUGAUGUGAAAGCCCCCGGCUCAACCGGGGAGGGUCAUUGGAAACUGGGGAACUUGAGUGCAGAAGAGGAGAGUGGAAUUCCAUGUGUAGCGGUGAAAUGCGUAGAUAUAUGGAGGAACACCAGUGGCGAAGGCGACUCUCUGGUCUGUAACUGACGCUGAGGCUCGAAAGCGUGGGUAGCAAACAGGAUUAGAUACCCUGGUAGUCCACGCCGUAAACGAUGAGUGCUAAGUGUUGGAGGGUUUCCGCCCUUCAGUGCUGCAGUUAACGCAUUAAGCACUCCGCCUGGGGAGUACGACCGCAAGGUUGAAACUCAAAGGAAUUGACGGGGACCCGCACAAGCGGUGG